GUUGUAUUCCCUCCGUCCGAAAAUACUUGUCAUCAAAAUGGAUAAAAAGAAUGUAUCUAGAACUAAUAUACAUCUAGAUACAUCCUUUUCUAUUCAUUUUGAUGACAAGUAUUUCCGGACGGAGGGAGUACUUU
rfam:Triticum aestivum genome assembly, contig: Triticum_aestivum_CS42_TGACv1_scaffold_289562_4AL